rnacentral:rRNA from 1 species
GAUCCUGGCUCAGGAUGAACGCUAGCUACAGGCUUAACACAUGCAAGUCGAGGGGAAACGAUAGAGAAAGCUUGCUUUUUCUAGGCGUCGACCGGCGCACGGGUGAGUAACGCGUAUCCAACCUGCCCACCACUUGGGGAUAACCUUGCGAAAGUAAGACUAAUACCCAAUGACGUCUCUAGAAGGCAUCUGAAAGGGAUUAAAGAUUUAUCGGUGAUGGAUGGGGAUGCGUCUGAUUAGCUUG